rnacentral:rRNA from 1 species
UGGGGAAUAUUGCACAAUGGGCGCAAGCCUGAUGCAGCCAUGCCGCGUGUGUGAAGAAGGCCUUUGGGUUGUAAAGCACUUUCAGCGGGGAGGAAGGCGAUAAGGUUAAUAACCUCAUCGACGGACGUUACCCGCAGAAGAAGCACCGGCUAACUCCGUGCCAGCAGCCGCGGUAAUACGGAGGGUGCAAGCGUUAAUCGGAAUUACUGGGCGUAAAGCGCACGCAGGCGGUCUGUCAAGUCGGAUGUGAAAUCCCCGGGCUCAACCUGGGAACUGCAUUCGAAACUGGCAGGCUAGAGUCUUGUAGAGGGGGGGAGAAUUCCAGGUGUAGCGGUGAAAUGCGUAGAGCUCUGGAGGAAUACCGGUGGCGAAGGCGGCCCCCUGGACGAAGACUGACGCUCAGGUGCGAAAGCGUGGGGAGCAAACAGG